UACGUAGGUGGCAAGCGUUGUCCGGAUUUACUGGGCGUAAAGAGCGCGCAGGCGGUCGCUCAAGUCGCGUGUGAAAGCCCCCGGCUCAACUGGGGAGGGUCGUGCGAUACGGGCGGACUGGAGGCCAGUAGGGGGAUGCGGAAUUCCGGGUGUAGUGGUGGAAUGCGUAGAGAUCCGGAGGAACACCAGCGGCGAAGGCGGCAUCCUGGACUGGUCCUGACACUCAUGAGCGAAAGCGUGGGGAGCGAUCCGG
rnacentral:rRNA from 1 species